rnacentral:rRNA from 1 species
UUCGCAAUGCCCGAAAGGGUGACAAUGCGACGCCGCGUGUGCGAUGAAGGUCUUCGGAUCGUAAAGCACUGUCAACCGGAAGGAAUCUCUGGGACCUUAACAAGGACUCAGGGUGACAGUACCGGUGGAGGAAGCCACGGCUAACUCCGUGCCAGCAGCCGCGGUAAUACGUAGGGUGCGAACGUUGUUCGGAAUCACUGGGCAUAAAGGGCGUGUAGGCGGUCGUACAAGUCAGAUGUGAAAGCCCCCGGCCUAACCGGGGAACUGCAUUUGAUACUGUGCGGCUAGAGUGCAGGAGGGGAGAGUGGAAUUCCUGGUGGAGCGGUGAAAUGCGUAGAUAUCAGGAGGAACGCCGGUGGCGAAAGCGACUCUCUGGCCUGCAACUGACGCUGAGUGCGCGAAAGCUAGGGGAGCAAACGGGAUUAGAUACCCCGGUAGUCCUAGCCCUAAACGAUGGGCACUAAGUAGAGGGGUUUU